rnacentral:rRNA from 1 species
CCUACGGGGGGCAGCAGUGGGGAAUUUUGCGCAAUGGGGGAAACCCUGACGCAGCAACGCCGCGUGAGUGAAGAAGGCCUUUGGGUUGUAAAGCUCUUUCGGCAGAGAAGAAGGUUAGUGUGGUUAAUACCCACAUUGGCUGACGGUAUCUGUAUAAGAAGCACCGGCUAAUUUCGUGCCAGCAGCCGCGGUAAUACGAAAGGUGCAAGCGUUGUUCGGAUUGACUGGGCGUAAAGAGCACGUAGGUGGGUCUUUAAGUCGAUUGUGAAAUCCCGGAGCUCAACUUCGGACUGGCAAUCGAAACUGUAGAUCUUGAAUACCCAAGGGGUUGGUGGAAUUGCACAUGUAGCAGUGAAAUGCGUAGAUAUGUGCAGGAACACCGGAGGCGAAGGCGGCCAACUGGUGGUGUAUUGACGCUGAGGUGCGAAAGCGCGGGGAGCAAACAGGAUUAGAUACCCUAGUAGUC